UAUCCUUUCAAAUCCUUCACCAAGAGGGACGCUAGGACACAUUCUCAGGCAAUCAACGAGGAGAAGACAAUGGUGGGUUUUGGCCACACUCAUGUCGUUCACGCCCAUCUUGCUGCCACCUCUGACCUACUCUGUUCCCCCACCCACACCCGGUAUAACGUACAAAACUGCACAAUCGACAGAUUUAGUCAAACGGAACUUUUUCUUUUU